rnacentral:lncRNA from 1 species
AAGAAUUGGUAUACUUCUUGAUGUUCAUUUAAAAGUCCAUCCAUUGAAGUCUGAGUUCCGUGAGAAACAGAAUCAGAACUCUUGCCAAUUGGACUGCAAGAUGUCUUCAUCUACGUAUGCUGUCAUAAAAAACACUAUGGACUAUGGGGCAAGAAAAAUGUAAUAUUUUUCUCUCACGGUUUUGGAGACUGGAAAGUUCAAGUGUCCAGCAGGGCUCAUUUUGUGUUGGGGGCUCUCUUUCUGGCAUGCAGAUGCUUCCUUCUCGCUGUGUCCUCGCAUGGUGGCAAGAGAGCAACCUCAGGUGUCUCUUUCUCUUUCAAAGGACACCAGUUCUCUCAGAUCAGGGCUUCACCGUUAUGAUCUCUCUUAAUCUUAAUCUGUCCUUCAAGGUCAUAUUUCCAACAUAGUCACACGGAGGCUUAGGGCUUUUAACAUACACGUAUGAAUUUUGGGGGACACCAUUCAGUCCAUAGCAAAAGGCCAGCUUCUGAUAUUCCCACAUCAGUCAGUGAUUGGAUAUAGACCAAUGGGAAUGUGUGAUAAUCCUUGGAUCAUCUGAGGCAAUCUCCAAAAAGGCUGAAAACCGAGGGCUGCCUACCGCUGGCACUCUGAGCAGCAUACACCACAUGCUCCAUCAGUGUUACUGCCCUCAGCUGGGGAGAACCCCCCUCACACAAGUUGUGAUACCUUCCUAGAGGCAGCCUGCAUUCAAUGACAGCUUGAGAGGGGCGUAAAGGGCCAGCCACUCUGACCUGAUUCAGGACAAUUCUGCAAGGCUCUCCAAGCUCCAGAAUUCCUAUACUGUUUCCUGAACCUUUGUUGUCACCGUUUCCCAAACUACUUUUCUUUUUGUCAAUCCUGACCCUUUCCCUCUCCUACUACAGAUGUUGGUCACUCGAAUACUCGCAGCACACUUCUAUGAAUGAAUCUUUGUCUCAGAGAUUGCUCCCCAAGGAACCCAGUCAGUGCCAUCGGAAAUCAAAACAUUUAUUUAUUUAUUUUAAAAAUAUGUAAAUAAAAUGAUUAUUUUCACCAUUUUAAUGUACAAGUUAGUGAUCAUUACACAUUUAAUACUUGCAUGAAAACAUCACAUUUACCGCAUAAAUAUGGACAACUAUUAUGCAUCUAUUAUAAUUAAAAAUAAAACAUUUAUAAAUGAGAACAUACUGGAAAUGUGUAGUCAUGAUGGUGGCACCAUCUUAUGUUUUUAAAUUAAGAAUUUUGGAGCAGGAAAUGUUUUCUGUCUGUACCUAGGUCUUUACAUAUCAGAAAAUUUCAUAAAAGACCAGAAUAAAAGUAGCCAUACAAAAUACAACCACAAAAUAUGUAUUAAAUAGCCUACCAAAAUGCCACAAUGUAUCAUUAUAAUCACUAUUAAAUAUUUAUUAUGCAACAGUAUCAUUUAUGCAAUAGGAUUUUUUAUAAACCAGCAAUUUGCACUUUGAAAUUCAAUUUCAGUGAAUCACAAGCUUAAAAAUUGAAAUUCAAAUUAAGCAUUUCCUUUAUUCAAAGUCAUAUAUCAUAUUGAAAAUAAUCUGUAUUUUUAUUGCAAAAGAACACUUUAAGAAAACCCUAGAGAAUUGUUUGACCUAAUAAUUGUAAUUGUGCAUGUAUUUCUUAAUAUUAUUGAUUAAAUUUAUAUUUAGCCAUUUCUCUCAGCUAUAUAUAGUUACAGCAAAGCUAUUUUGCAUCAACAUAUAUGUCUCCCUAACUAUGAUAAAGAAUAUGGUAAUGAUGUUGUAAAUUGAUUGGAAAAGAUGAUCUAUCAAUUCUUUUGCAGCUUCCGAAUUCCAAA